CUUUGUAUAAAACCAAAUCUCUGAGGUGCUAACAACUAGAUUUGCUCGAUUAUACCGAACACAAGUUUUUAUUUUCUAUUCAUUCAUGGUUGCCCUUGCAAGUCGAAGAGCUCUGUGGUGACAUCGUCACACUUUGGGAGAGUUGGGCUUUGUUUCGUGAAAUCUCUGCAGGUUGAUGCUAGGUUGUGAUGGGCGUUUGGCUCUUUUUGUUUGCUGGCAGUAUGACUGGCUUCGAUCAUGGUAUAGAAUCUCUGGUGUGACAAGCCUUAGGUGGUCGACGUUCUCACAGUUGUUUCUCAUCAUUCUAUCUAGGUCCUCUAAGUCAAGAGUGAAUACGAGGGAUUGGGUUUGGUUGGUUUUUAGGUGGUUUGAUUUAACUUAUUUGGGCUUGUAGUGUGGAUUUCAGUUUUUCCCCUUUGUUUAUUAGACCUAUUUACUACAUCUAAAUUGUAACUCUUGCGUUUUAUAGGUUUUUAAAAGAAAGACUUGCAUAUUAAAAAAAAAUAUAUAUUUAUAAAUUUAAUUACAAACAAUU
rnacentral:misc_RNA from 1 species